ACUUGAAUAUCUUAUAUGUAGAGUAUGAUGCUGAAGAUGUCAUUGAGGUUGUUUGUAUACCUUCAAGUA
rnacentral:tRNA from 1 species